rnacentral:rRNA from 1 species
UGGAGUCCGCACGAGCGCACCCUUGUCUUCAGUUGCCAUCGGGUUGAUGCCGGGCACUCUGGGAGAGACUGCCCAGGAUAACCGGGAGGAAGGUGGGGAUGACGUCAAGUUCAGCAUGGCCUUUAUGCCUGGGGCUACACACGUGCUACAAUGGCCGGUACAAAGGGUUGCAAUCCCGCAAGGGGGAGCCAAUCCCAAAAAACCGGCCUCAGUUCAGAUUGUGGUCUGCAACCCGACCACAUGAAGGUGGAAUCGCUAGUAAUCGCGGAUCAGCACGCCGCGGUGAAUACGUUCCCGGGCCUUGUACACACCGCCCGUCACACCACGAAAGUCAGCUGUACCUGACGUCGCUGGACCUAACCCGCAAGGGAGGCAGGUGCCCACGGUAUGGUUGGUGAUUGGGGUGAAUCUAACAAGGUACCCGUAGGGGAACCUGCGGCUGGAUCACCUCCUUU